AUUGAACGCUGGCGGCAUGCCUUACACAUGCAAGUCGAACGGUAACAGGUCUUCGGAUGCUGACGAGUGGCGAACGGGUGAGUAAUACAUCGGAACGUGCCCGAUCGUGGGGGAUAACGGAGCGAAAGCUUUGCUAAUACCGCAUACGAUCUACGGAUGAAGGCAGGGGACCGCAAGGCCUUGCGCGGACGGAGCGGCCGGUGGCAGAUUAGGGAGUUGGUGGGAUAAAAGCUUACCAAGCCGACGAUCUGUAGCUGGUCUGAGAGGACGACCAGCCACACUGGGACUGAGACACGGCCCAGACUCCUACGGGAGGCAGCAGUGGGGAGUUUUGGACAAUGGGCGAAAGCCUGAUCCAGCCAUGCCGCGUGCAGGAUGAAGGCCUUCGGGUUGUAAACUGCUUUUGUACGGAACGAAAAGACUCUUUCUAAUAAAGAGGGUCCAUGACGGUACCGUAAGAAUAAGCACCGGCUAACUACGUG
rnacentral:rRNA from 1 species